GGGCCCGCACAAGCGGAGGAACAUGUGGUUUAAUUCGAUGAUACGCGAGGAACCUUACCCGGGUUUGAACGCAUUCGGACGGUAGUGGAAACAUUACUUCUAGCAAUAGCCGUUUGCGAGGUGCUGCAUGGUUGUCGUCAGCUCGUGCCGUGAGGUGUCGGCUUAAGUGCCAUAACGAGCGCAACCCUUAUCGAUAGUUACCAUCAGGUGAUGCUGGGGACUCUAUCGAGACUGCCGGCGUAAGCUGUGAGGAAGGUGGGGAUGACGUCAAAUCAGCACGGCCCUUACAUCCGGGGCGACACACGUGUUACAAUGGCGUGGACAAAAGGGCAGCUACCUGGUGACAGGAUGCUAAUCCCAAAAACCACGUCUCAGUUCGGAUCGAAGUCUGCAACCCGACUUCGUGAAGCUGGAUUCGCUAGUAAUCGCGCAUCAGCCAUGGCG
rnacentral:rRNA from 1 species